CCUUUUGGACUUUCUCUUCUGGGUCUGAAAUUGACCUCUUCUGUGAGCUCACUCUUCCCCUCCUCCAUCUUUUAACUCUCUCAAGUUAUUCAUUCACUUAAAAAAUUGCUCUGGU
rfam:Loxodonta africana unplaced genomic scaffold scaffold_4, whole genome shotgun sequence.